UACGUAGGCAGCAAGCGUUGUUCGGAGUUACUGGGCGUAAAGGGUGCGUAGGCGGCUUUUUAAGUUUGGUGUGAAAUCUCCCGGCUCAACUGGGAGGGUGCGCCGAAUACUGAGAGGCUAGAGUGCGGGAGAGGAAAGUGGAAUUCCUGGUGUAGCGGUGAAAUGCGUAGAUAUCAGGAGGAACACCGGUGGUGUAAACGGCUUUCCGGACCGUAACUGACGCUGAUGCACGAAAGCGUGGGUAGCAAACAGG
rnacentral:rRNA from 1 species